rnacentral:rRNA from 1 species
CNUGGAGUGGUCAUGCGUUAUCNGGAAUUACUUGGGCGUAAAGCGUUCGUAGGCGGUUUGUUANGUUAGAUGUGAAAGCCCCGGGCUUAACCUGGGAACUGCAUUUAAAACUGGCAAACUCGAGUUUAGGAGAGGGAAGUGGAAUUUCAGGUGUAGCAGUGAAAUGCGUAGAGAUCUGAAGGAACACCAGUGGCGAAGGCGACUUCCUGGACUAAAACUGACGCUGAGGAACGAAAGCGUGGGUAGCAAACGGGAUUAGAUACCCCGGUAGUCCACGCCGUAAACGAUGUCAACUAGCCGUUGGGCCUAUAUACAGGCUUAGUGGCGGAGCUAACGUAUUAAGUUGACCGCCUGGGGAGUACGGCCGCAAGGUUAAAACUCAAAUGAAUUGACGGGGGCCCGCACAAGCGGUGGAGCAUGUGGUUUAAUUCGAUGCAACGCGAAGAACCUUACCUACCCUUGACAUCCAGAGAAUCUGUUAGAGAUAGUAGAGUGCCUUCGGGAACUCUGAGACAGGUGCUGCAUGGCUGUCGCCAGCUCGUGUCGUGAGAUGUUGGGUUAAGUCCCGUAACGAGCGCAACCCUUAUCCUUAGUUGCUAGCAGGUAAUGCUGAGAACUCUAAGGAGACUGCCGGUGAUAAACCGGAGGAAGGUGGGGACNACGUCAAGUCAUCAUGGCCCUUAUGGGUAGGGCUACCCCGUGCUACAA